rnacentral:pre_miRNA from 1 species
CCUUCGUGAUGGCUUUAAUAGUAUUAGGUUGAUGCAAAAGCAAUUGCGGUUUCUGCAUUGAAAGUGAUGGCAGAAACUGCAGUUACUUUUGCACCAACGUAAUAUAUGUAAGAACAAUGCGGCCGGG